rnacentral:rRNA from 1 species
UACGAAGGGGGCUAGCGUUGCUCGGAAUCACUGGGCGUAAAGCGCACGUAGGCGGAUCUUUUAAGUCAGGGGUGAAAUCCUGGAGCUCAACUCCAGAACUGCCUUUGAUACUGGGGAUCUCGAGUCCGGAAGAGGUGAGUGGAACUCCGAGUGUAGAGGUGAAAUUCGUAGAUAUUCGGAAGAACACCAGUGGCGAAGGCGGCUCACUGGUCCGGUACUGACGCUGAGGUGCGAAAGCGUGGGGGAGCAAACA